rnacentral:rRNA from 1 species
UUCGCAAUGCCCGAAAGGGUGACGAAGCGACGCCGCGUGUGGGAAGAAGGCCUUCGGGUUGUAAACCACUGUCGGGAGUUAGGAAAUGUAAGGGUGCUAAUAGUAUCCUUACUUGACUAAGGCUCCGGAGGAAGCCACGGCUAACUCUGUGCCAGCAGCCGCGGUAAUACAGAGGCGGCAAGCGUUGUUCGGAAUUAUUGGGCGUAAAGAGCACGUAGGCGGCCUUGUAAGCCAGUUGUGAAAGCCUUCUGCUUAACGGAAGAACAGCAGCUGAUACUGCAAGGCUAGAGUGCGGAAGGGGAGAGUGGAACUUCUGGUGGAGCGGUGAAAUGCGUAGAUAUCAGAAGGAACACCGGCGGCGAAGGCGACUCUCUGGUCCGUAACUGACGCUGAGUGUGCGAAAGCUAGGGGAGCAAACGGGAUUAGAUACCCCGGUAGUCCUAGCCGUAAAC